rnacentral:lncRNA from 1 species
UUAACAUAAAGUUUGAUUGGGAAAGUACUUACAAAUUUGUCUAUCAAUACAUCAUUUACAUCUUCAGGAUGCCACAAUCUACUCCGUUCUAUAGGGAAAUCAGGAUUUUCUGCAUGCACGAUAUCUCUGCCCAUAUCCCGAAGCAAAUCAUGCAUCAUAAUCUUGUUUUCUCUAUUAAUAGUUACAAGGCACCGGUCAAGGAGGACCUUGAUUCCUGUUGUUGCAUAAAAGCCACAACCAUCCAAGAUUUGUAUGACAUCGUUCUUGUUCAUUCCGAUAAAAAAACAAGCUAUAUCGAGGAAUAUCCGCCUUUUGUAAUUAUCAUUUAGCCUGUUGUAGCUUAUUUUCAGUUGUGCCUGAAUUUCUGCACGAGGAAUUAUUUUCAAUUCAUCCAAUAUACUUCUCCAUUCAUCUACGCUUCGUUUGAAAAGAGUAGAUCCUAAAACUUCAAGAGCCAGCGGCAAUCCUCCACAGUAAUUGACAACUUCUCUUUCGAGCGCAAGAUAUUGACUAGGACAACUACUACUUCUGAAAGCAUGCCAACUUAGGAGCUCAAGAGCUUCUUCUCGGUCCAUUACUUUCGCCUGAUAUAUCUUAUCAACUGCAAAUUCUUUUAGCACACUUUCGUUUCUAGUUGUGAUGAUGAUUCUGCUCCCCGGGCCAAAAAAGUGGCAAUUUCCAACUAAUUCGCGUAAUUGCUUCACAUCGUCUACAUCAUCAACUAUGACAAGUACCUUUAAGCGUCGAAAUCUUUCCCUUACCAAGGCGGUCCCUGCAGCAACACUACUUACCUUUGUCUUGGUUUGCAAGAUAUCAAAAAGAAGUUGUUUUUGCAAUUUUUCUAGUUUCUUUUCCCUCACUUUUUCAAGGAAACUUUUACCUUCAAACCUUUCAUAAAAUUCGUUAUAAAUGGCUUUAGCAAUUGUUGUUUUACCUAUUCCACCCAUGCCUGAAAUUCCAAUCACACGAACAUCAUCUGAAUCUCCGAUGCCUAAAUAAUUACUGAUAUCUAGCACUCGAGUAUCUAUUCCGACUUGAUAGAGCGCUACGUCAAAGUAUUUGUUGUUCAACUUCGUAGUGACGUCAUUGGUAAUCAUCCUGAUAAACUUUGCUUCAUGCCUGGCAUUAGUCAAGUUGAGAAGCAAAACGAAGAUUGUUAUACAACGAAAUCGAACUAAUUAAUACACAAAAUUAUUUAUCAUGACUAGAGAUUUUAAUUAAGACAAUUUUUUUUGAGGUGGUGUGUUUAAACUUAGCAAACAUCAAUUAAAAUUAAAAUAAAGAAACACAAACAAAAAAACCAGCAUCCCUUCCCUCCGCAGCCAAUCGCCGGCAGCUUCCCAGCUGUGAUUAGUGUAGCCUUAACAGUUUAAGCUUUAUUGUAUGAUUUUAUUACAGAGGUCUAAGAAAUCGUAUGAUUCCAAAUUAAUAAGCAAAGGUACGUUAAAGCCUUAAUUCAUAAGAAAAGAAAUUAGAAAGUACCCGUCUAAAGUGUUUCUGAGAUCCCAGCCAGACAAAUUCGAAGCUUCAGUAAGAGCAGCUCUCCACCUCUCUACCUUUUUUCAUCUGUAUGUUUCAGAAACGAUUGUGCAAAACUACAAGUCUGUUUCCUAACAUGCGAAGGAUCAACGUCAUAGAAUAUUGGCAAAACUAAUUGCCCUAGCGUUCUUCUACACUCCAUGAUCUUAACCAGCUCCUCGAGACACCAGCUGGAGUCCGAGUACCGUCUUGAGAAGACGAUGAUAGAGAUCCUAGAACCCUGGAUUGCAUGCACAAGUUCGGUAGUUAUAUCUUCUCCUCUUCUUAGUUCGUCGUCAAUAAAGGUGUUGAUUCCGGCCUUUGUCAAUGCUUCGUGGAGGUGGCCCACGAAGUUUUUACGUGUGUCUUCACCUCUGAAGCUUAUGAACACUUCGUAGAGCAAGCCUUUUGAGAAGGAAGACAUGGAUGGGGAGGUGGAGGCGGAUGAUGAGGAUGAGAUUGAGGGUGAGGAGGUGGAGGAGGACGAUGAGGAGGAGGUGGAGGAGGACGAUGAGGAUGAGGGCGAGGAGGAGGAUGAGGACGAGGUUUUAUCGGGGACGGAGAUAUUCAUUUAGCGAAAGACGAGGCCUAGGGAGUAGAGGAGGAAGAUGAGGACAUCAUAGACAAGAUCGGAAUUGCGAGCCGUAAAGUGGUUGGACACUAACACCAGCACCAAAGUUAACAGCUUCCCUAAGCUCGACCAGGUAUCCAUUUCCUUCAUUUUCUUUAUGCAAAUUGAAGGUUUUUGGCUAUAUUGAUUUUCUUUCUUCUGCAGGACUUCAUUGCAAGAGUUAAUUUGAAAGUACCCUAUUGCAAAAGGGAUCUGACUUCUCUGCCUUCCCACUUCCCAUACAUUCUGAUCCCCUCUUAUUUGUGCGGUCACGGUUAAGCCACGUCAACAUUUUAUAUUACUAUUGACUUUUGUCUUAUUAUCUUUAUAAAAAAAUUAAUAUAAAAUAUUAACGUGGCUUAACCGUGACCGCACAAAAUAAGAGGGGAUAGGAGUGUAUGGGAAGUGGGAGGAGAAAAGUCAGGUUCAUUACGGAAUCUCGGAUUAUGACGACCUCUACCAGUCUUCGUAUUCAAUUUUUUAUGACGACCUCUACCAGUCUUCCUAGUCAAUUUUUUAAUUCAACUUACAAGUUUGGUAGAGAGUGCCAAAUGCAUAUUUGCAGGGUUCUCACUUUCAGUAUGGCUAAAUAUCAAGGAAAAAUAUAUAUUUAUAGACAAUCUAUACUAUAUAUUAAGAAAACCCUCCUUGUCAAAAUUUUCCCCAUUUUUCCAAUUUUGCCCUCACUUUUGAUACACAACCUUGACAAAAAGGAGGGCAAAAUAGUAAUUUUGCAUCUUUUGAGAAAAUGACAAUCAUAUCCCUAUUUUCCCUAUUUUACCCUCACUUUUGAUACACAAUAUUUACAUAAAGAGGGCAAAAUGGUAAUUAUGUAAUAUUAAGAAAAAUAUGCCCUUAUUAGGAGAUCUCAUCAUCAUUGUCUCAUACUCUUUUUAAAAAAUUUAAAAACUAAUCACACUCCUUAAUCUAAAAUAAAAAAGAAAAUGAAAUUGUUCACACACAAAGUGUGUGCUCAUCUUCUAGUUUGGUAUAAAAUAAUCGAAGUUGUUAUGGAAAAUGGCAUCAAGGAUGUUAGAGCAUCCCCAAUGGGGGCUUUAUCCUCCAUGAGGCUACCACAUUUUUAGCCUUAGCGAGAAAUUUCAUCCUCAAUGAGCCAGAAAAUGGGGCUAGAUCCACCACUAGGGCUAGUAACUUCAUUUCUUGGGUAGCAUAAAAUCAGGCUACAUCUAGCCCCAAAAAACAGUGGGUCCCACAAAAAAAGUAGCAACCUAUGUGAGCAAAAUUCUAUCAUUCUCCCUCCACUUGCGAAUACACUCAUACUCUCAUUUUAUUAUUUUUUAAUUCUUUUUUCUUACUUACUUUGCUUGCAAUUUGACUAAUUAAUGAUUGUUUUAAAUUCUAUAAGAAUUAAAAUUUCAAAUUGAUUUAACGUUCAUGAGCAUUGAUGGGUGAAAUUUUCAAAUAUUUUUUUUCAAAAUUAUAUGAUACUAAUUUACCAAUUGGUGUUAGGUAAAAUUAUUGUAUUAUACGUGAAAAUCAAAUUAUUUCAGAAAACGAAGUGAGGGUUUAUUUCUUAUAAUAAAUGAGAUUGAGAUAAGGGAAUCUAAUCUAACAAACAAUUCAUAAGUGAUAAAAUCUAACUUUGUCACAAUUUGAACUUUGUAGGUGGAAGGGUUAAAUUUAAGAUAGCACGUCCAAAAAUCAACUUAAGAAAAGCUAACACAAAAAAAAAAAAAUUCAUUGCUUAAUCAAAUUACUACAUAAAUAAAUAUAUAUAGCCCAUAUAGAGCCCGAAAGAUAUAGCCCCUCAUUGUGAGAGAUUCUUUUAUACAACCCCAAAAAUUUCUUGGAACUAUAAAAUGGGUUGUAUCCAUCACUUUUCCAGCCCCAUAUAAAAUAUUAAAACCCCUCACUGGGGAUGCUCUUAGGAUUGGUAGUUUAAUAGUGGCCUUGUCUUUCAUCAUCGUUACCAUCCGUAGUAGUUGAAGAAUGACUCUGAUAUAUGUCCAACCACUUUGGAUUUAUAUGUCCAACCACUUUGGAUUUACUUGUGCUCUUACUUUAGAAUGUUGAAAAUUCAAACUGCAUCAAAACAACAGAUCAAUUGAUUUUAAAUGUUUAUUUUUUCACAAUUGAUGUUACUUAUUUUUAAGCUAAAUUAAGAGAAUAUAAGUAUUUUAAUUUAUAAUGAACUUAAGUCAAACAAAAACUAUCUAUUCACAAGGACAAUCCACCGCCUUACAUAUCAAACCUUGUACCAAACUCCUUCUAGACCACUCUUCCAUAUGCCCCCGGACCCACAGAAGUGUUUUAGGCUGAACUAGAAAAUGUGCCCGCGCUUCGCUGCGGGGGUUGAAUGCAUCUGUUGUGAGCUUGAAUAAUUUCCACAGAAAGUGGGCAAAAUGGUGGUAGGAACAUAAUCACAUUCUCAAAUGUAGCAAUUCAGUUACCAUAUAUUUGAGUUGAGUGAAUCCAACAAAAUCACCAAUCAACAUACGCAUCGUAUCAGUAAUCAAAAAUUGAAAAUUUAUCAAUUAUUUUCAAAUAUUCAAUAAAUUAAACCACACAAAAUUAAAAAAUAUAUGACGCGACCCUACAGCGACAACAAAUUGAUUUCUCCACUGCAGAGAGGUUGAUCACCAGAAGCAGGGUCAAUAAUGGCCAGCCUCUAAUGAGCAAAGAAACAAUCUCCAGGCUGGCAUAGGCCACUCCAAUUCAGGUCAACGGGGAUUCAAUCUAUCAAAUCCAUUCAUGCAGAUUGAUUACCUGAUUGGUAUUGAAAAGGAAACAAAACCCCCCCAAUUUUUUGAAAUUUAGAGUAGGAUGGAUCGCUUACCUUUAGCAAAGCGGAGGAACGUUGGUGGUGCGGAGGGACUGGUGGUCCAGCGCAAUUCGCUAGAUUUGAGAGCGAGAAAAGGCUCUCCACUGCAUUUUCCAUGCAUUCAAUCAUCAAAUUGUAGUUCGUUUCAAUUGAUUUCUGCUGAAAUUUAAAAAAUUAAUAAACAUUUCUAAAAAUAAAAGUAAACUUCAAGCUACAGACAGUUUGACUUGAAUGGCUUCAGCUGGAGCUAAGUAGGCUUACAGUGGGUGAAUCAAAGGGAUAAAGACACUGCAAUUUUCAGCUUCAUACCAAAGGAUAGACAAAGCACGACAGCAUGUUGCUAACUAAUUGUUCAAUCGAACUGAAAGGAAAAGUUGCAGGACAAAUAGCUCACUAAAGAAUCCCAUGUUGAGGACCUUUCCAGGCACGCUUUAUUCAACAGAGCUUUCAGGUUUUCAGUUUUCAGCUUAUCUUGAAAUUCAAUGCGUCGGGAAUCAGGGAUUUGCUGAGGCAGGUAAGAGUAACACAAGCAUCCAGUCAAUUCGAUUUGCUGAGGCAGUUGCAGUUGCAGGUAUGAGUAAAGUCAUGACAAAUUGUGAAUGGAGGAGAAAUACUAUUACCAUAAUCAACCAUAAUAUGUAAGUAGCCGAAUGUUUAGCCUGUGCUUGGUAGUCAUCGAAGCUAUUAUCUGGAAUGAUGGAGCAGGAGUCGAGGAGCUGUAACUCGUUAUUCAUAAAGAUUCUGAAGUCGUCAUUCAUGCUGUUAUUCUGCUUCGCAUGGCUGGACAGACCAGUAUGAUCAGUUAUGAAAUGCUUUAUCCAAAAUAAGAAAGGAAGCGGCGAUGAAGCCAUAGAGCCUGUUUACAGUGAAUACCACAGAAAUUAAAACUCGGGGGGUUCUCAGAUGAUUAGUGAAAUAUACAAAAACACCCCACGUACCUCUCUUCCUAUGUAGUGCUUUAUCAACAUUUCAUCCCAAUCAAGCUCUUCCUGACAUGACCACAUUUGACACAAGUAUCAACUGUAAACGUUCAUGUAACGAAGAUAGUACAAUAUAAAAAGUGCUUGCCCAUAGGAACUCAUGGUCAUAAUUACUGAAAAGAGAUUAAAGAAGAUUUGUACCUUCCACAGCCGAUAUAUCUCAACACUGUAACCAGAAGCUGAAAUCUCUUGUUUAUAGCAUUCGUCCUCUAAAUCUUACGCAUCAGCCGCUGCAAAAUGAUAGAAACAUUGAUUGUGAGGGGAAUUAAAGUCCAGCACAUCGACAACUUUGUCUCUCAGUAUCACAACAAAAGGAAAGCAAGGUCUCACACUGCGAUAAUGGGAGCAACUAUGAUCAGCAACAUGCAAGGAGGCCCAGGUUCGGGAUCUUUCUAAUUCAUGUAGCAACUGCAAGCACAAAUUUAUGGUGCAUAUAACUCAUCAUAAACACGGACGAGAGAGAAAAAUGGAUAUGUAUGGUACAAAUACGAAUCUCGGAAUAUGAAACUGCAUAAAAUCAACAAUUACUCUCAAACUAUCAGUCACAUUUGUUGAGAAUGAAGGCUAAAAAUAAUUCUCUGCUUAUCCUUUUCAAAUGUAUAGGAGUGCAAUUUGGCUCAGAAUUGUUUACAUCACAUAUAAAUAUGAAAUUCCUAGAAGGAAACCUGAAUUAUUCCCCGGAUAAGAAAAAUCGAGAUUAGAUCUAACCUGUUCUCUUGUCAUGUAGGAAACCAACCAGCAACGGUGGUUCCAUGCACGGUAAUUCAUUUUUGACCUCUGUAAAGAAAGAUUUUGAAUUACACAAAAGUGAACAAUGACAAGGAAAAUUCUCACAUAAGAAAAUUGUGGAACAUAUGAAAUGCCCAUACAGAAUAACAGUUGCUAUUGAAACCAUGGACACUGAUCCACAUCACGUUUGGAAAAGAGAGAGUGAAUUACAACUAUUAUCUGUACUAGUUUGAUACAGAUAUUUAGCAGCUCAGUAGGAAACCUUAUUUUGCAGACAAGAUGACUGCCAGAUGCACACAAUUAUAAAAGUGCACAAUGUGUUGGGGUGACGGAAGUCAUUUCUCAAGUCUUUUAUGCGGUGUGUGUGAGUUAUGUUGUUUUUCCCUACGAAAGCAAUAAUGAGACUGAACAAAAACAACAUAUAAGAUAAUUGAAUUAAAGUUUAAAUAAACCUUUGUAAAUUAAAAGCAUGCAGUUCCUGAACUGAAUUUAAACCUCAGCUAUUUUCUCCACCAGCUCAGAGUCUUUGGUCACAAUCUCCGACAGAGUUGAACACUUUCCAGCAAUCGACUUGAUGACCCACUGCCUGCAAUGAUCGAUAUGUUCUUAAAAUUCAAUUAUUAAAGUCAUUACAUGGGAAAACUAUAAUGAGGGACUCGAUUAAACCCUACCCGGCUGAGUACUUAUAAAUAAGAAAGUAUAGAAAUCAUGCCAGUUGUUAAGCAUAUAACGGAAAACUUCUGCUAAAAAUGCUACCUAUGGCUCCAAGCAUACUCAAACUUAGGUGAAUAUGAAAGAACAAGUGCUGACAAGAGAAGUUCAUCCAAAAAUGCUGAGUGCUUAUGCUUCUGCGACACAACAAGCUUCCUGCAUCACAUAUACUAGACCAAGUAGGUGUCAUGACAUAAAUUGAAAAGCAGACAAGAUCAAGAAGAUCCAAAAUUAUUGAUAUAUAAUUAUAGUAAAUAAUUGCACAUCAAAAACUCUAGAGGAAGAUAGAUGAAUCUCCAUGUCAGGAAACCAAAGAACAUGACGCUACAAAGGACCGUUGCUUCACAUGCAUAUCUGCUACUAUUUUAAAACAAUUAUGUUAGAACAAGUGUAAGAGAGAGGAAAAAGCACUACUGAACCGAAAAUGAAAAGGGGGAAAACCUGGAAUGCCAUGCAGUGCCGAAAUCACUACUUAGCAACAAAAGCGCCCUGCUAUGCUUCAUGACGUCACUUUCAAAACUAUUAUCCAAAGAUAAUGACACAUACAAAGACUUCUCAUCCCCAGAUACAUCUGAUCUGCUGUUAAGUGCCUUCUAUUGUCUACUUGCUGCCAUAAACGCAUGCUUAGAAGCUUCAUAUAACGGGAAAAAAAAUUGCGUUGAAAUCCCCAACUUAUGAUCCCCAUUCCAAAAAACUGAGUUGCCAUUAGCUGAGCGCAUCACAGUACUGCCAUCAGAUGAGGGUGAGAAAUGGACUGCCUCUUUAUUCAGCUUGGAAAAUUGGGACGGGUGAAGAAAUACCACUUCAUCUCUGGGUUCAAUCAAGAGGAAAGAACAAUAUAUAAGACGAUGGCAUUACUACAUAUUCCAAAAACGUAACUGAGAACCCUUCCAAAAUUAAAAAAGAGAACACCUCUACACAAAAUCAUAAUGCACCCACACACACACACACACACACACACACACAAUUCAAAAACUUUCAGCAUAAGAAUAAGGCAUACUUGGACCGAAAUCGAAAUUCCAGAUUCGGUAACAGUAAUGAACUAACACUGAAUCAACAUUUUGAAUUUGAACUAACACUGAAUGGACAUUUUCCAAAAAAUAUGAAAUCCCAAGUAAAAUCAAGCUGUUACUUUUACAUAUGCAUGGAUCAACUCAUUUGGGAUCAAAUAUCUGUACUUUUCGACACGGAAAUUACACUUUGUGUACACCAACCAAGCACGAAUAAAACCUAUAUAUACAAAACUCUAUGGGGCAUUUCAUCGAACACAAAGUCUGCAUCUUUACUGAAAACAGAGAAGCUAAACCUGAAAUCACUGAUUAUCUACUAACAUACUACUAACAUACAAGUCAGAAGAUCGACCGUGUCUGCUUCGGAACGACGCAGCUCCUCUCCUUCCAUAUUUUCUGUUUGUUUCCCGAGAAAAUCCAAGGGAAAGGAAAACCCGAGGGAAAAUGACAGCUUUAUACUAUGUUGGAACAAAAUGGUAAAUUAAUUAAAAAAAGAAGUACGUGGAAGUUUUUUAUUAGUUGUUGAAAUAAGUUGCAUGAUGCUGGCCGUAGAUGAUCCAGUUUCGGGCCAAUGUCACACUGACACGUAUACACCAUUCUUCGACUUUUAUUUUCUUGUAUAAAAUUUUGGAGCUGCUAUGGCUAUUCAGAAGAGAAUGCUUUGAAUAAUGAUAUAUUCUUCUCAAUAAGAGGAACUUAUAGGUGUACAACCCUAACAUAAAAGGAAAAAAAACUAAUAACAAGUGAUUACAUGGGAUUACAUAUCAAUUAGGGAUCCUACCUAAAAUACAAAAGUCAACACUCCCCCUCAAGUUGGUGCAUAUAUGUCGCUCAUGCCCAACUUGUGUAAGAAACUUGAAAACUUGUGACUCGAAACAGCUUUUGUGAGGAUAUCUGCCAACUGAUCUUCAGUUCUUAUCGCCGGUACUUCAAUUAUUUUCCCUUCCAAUUUUUCUUUGAUGAAGAAUCGAUCAACUUCAACAUGCUUUGUUCUAACAUGUUGUACUGGAUUAUCUGCAAUGUCACGAGCAGCUUUAUUAUCACAAAAUAAUUUCAUGGGCUGAUCAUGUUGUAUACCCAAAUCACUUAACAGAAGCUUAAGCCACAAAAUUUCACAAAUCCCCAAAGCCAUACCUCUGUAUUCUGCUUCUGCACUGGAACGGGCAACCACAUUCUAUUUCUUACUUCUCCAUGUAACCAAGUUACCCCCAACAAACGUAAAGUAACCUGAUGUUGAGCGUCUAUCAUCAAUAGAACCUGCCAGUCUGCAUCAGUAUAACCUUCAACACUAAAGUGAUUAUUCCUCUUAAACAAAAUUCCUUUGCCCGGACUUCCCUUCAAAUAUCGCAAUAUUCUCAUCACGGCAUUUAUAUGUUGUUCUCCAGGAUCAUGCAUGUAUUGACUCACUACACUCAAGGCAUAAGCAAGGUCCGGUCUUGUGUGUGCCAAAUACAUCAACCGGCCUACUAACCUUUGGUAUCUUCCUUUGUCAACUGGUACUUGAUUAGGAUCAACACUAAGCUUUAAUCCUUCUUCUAAUGGUGUAGCUAAUGGCUGACAAGCUGACAUGCCAGUUUCGUGCAACAAAUCAAUAAUAUACUUCCUUUGAGACAAGAAAAUUCCAGAACUGCUUCUCGACACCUCAAUCCCUAAAAAAUAUUUUAGGGAUCCAAGGUCCUUCAUUUCAAAUUCUGCAGACAGGUAUCUUUGCAAGGCCGCACGUUCUUCAGGAUCAUUACCUGUUACCACCAUAUCGUCUACAUACACAAUAAGUGCAGUAAGCUUCCCAUUCUGUCUUUUCAGGAACAAAGUAUGAUCAGAGUUACUUUGUCUGUAACCAAAUGCUCUCAUAGAUUUUGUGAAUCUUCCGAACCAUGCUCGAGGGGACUGCUUCAAGCCAUACAAGGAUUUCUUCAACCUGCACACUUUUCUUUUGUAUUUAUCUGGAGCAUUACAUCCCGGUGGAAGAUCCAUAUAAAUCUCUUCUGUCAAGUCUCCAUGCAAGAAGGCGUUCUUCACAUCGAACUGUUGUAAGGGCCAAUUAAGAUUUGCAGCCAAGGACAACAAAACACGAACUAUGUUGAUCUUGGCUACAGGUGCAAAUGUAUAUGUGUAGUAGAUUCCAUAUUUUUGAGUGUAUCAUUUGCUACCAGUCUUGCCUUGAAACGAUCCACCGUCCCAUCUGCUUUGUAUUUCACAGUAUAGACCCAUUUGCAUCCCACAGGUUUCUUGCCAGCUGGCAAAUCUGUGAUCUCCCAGGUAGCAUUCUUCUUCAAAGACUUCAACUCUUCAUUCAUUGCUACUUGCCAACGUGGAUCAGUUAAAGCCUCCUGCACACUGUUAGGAAUAGAUACAGUAGAUAAUUGAUGUACAAACGACUUAUUUGAUUCUGACAGGUGACUGGUAGACACAUAAUUACUUAACGGGUAUAACACAUUAGACUCAAGGUUGGGCUUACUCACCGGAUACCUAGUUUUGCAUUUAGGGUCGGCUUCAUAAGUAAGUUUAGGAAUACCUCGGUUGACGCGAUCAGGGAGAUGAUGUGGUGGUGGUGCAUCCGGGAUCGAAGACGAUUGAUUAUGGUUAUUGGGACUCAAGAUCGACUGUGAGGUAGCUGGCGACACAGGGCUGUCUGGUGAUGAGGAAACUGGCAGUGAGCUAUCAGGCAGUGAGUUAUCUGGCGAUGUCGACUCGUCCCUUUCAAGGUUUUCAACAUUGUUUCCAUGUGAAUGAUCACCACUUGUCUCCAAGACAUUACCACUUAAUUCCAAUUCAUUCACAUCAUUAUUUUCGUGUGAGUGAUCACCACUUAUUUCCAAGACAUCACCAUUUAAUUCCAAAUCAUUCACUCUAUCUAUAUCUGGAAUAGUAUAAUCAAGAGUUUGAACUUCUUUCUGAUUCUCCCCCUGAAGUGAAGACUCGGGAUUGGCAAAGUACAUAUCAUUAUCAUGAAACGCAACAUCCAUAGUGACAAACAACUUAUUCGUCGGUGGGUGAUAACAACGGUAUCCUUUCUGCCUUGAUGCAUACCCCACAAACACACAUCGUAAGGCUCGAGGUUCAAGCUUACAUCGAUGUUGUUUAUGAAGAUGAACGAAGGCCAAACAACCAAACACAUGAGGUGGAAAAUUAGGGACUGCAUGAGCAUCAACAUGUGAAGAAAUUGCCUGAAAAGGUGUAUGAAAAUCAACCGAUCGGGAUGGAACACGAUUAAUGAGAUACGCAGCUGAGGUGAGAGCUUCUCCCCAAUAGCAUAACGGGAGACGAGCCUCGAGUAAAAAAGCACGAACAACCUCCAGAAGCUGACGGUUCUUUCAUUCGGCAACCCCAUUUUGUUGUGGAGUAUAUGGACAUGUAGUUUGAUGAACAAUCCCAUGAUGAUCAAGAAAGGCACGAAGUUCAGAGUUAACAUAUUCGCCACCAUUAUCACUCCUGAGAACCUGUAUUUGUGACUUAUAUUGUACUUGUACCAUUUUGUAAAACUGUUGAAACAAAGAAGUAACUUCACCUUUGGAUUUCAUCAAACAAACCCAAGUCAUACGUGUGCAGUCAUCAAUAAAAAUAACAAACCAAUGAGCACCACCAAAUGUAGCAGUUUUAGAUGGACCCCAAACAUCAGAAUGAAUUAUCAUAAAUGGAACAUAACUUUUAUUCAAACUGGAUGGAAACGAGGCACGAUGACUUUUAGCUAGUUCACAAACACCACAUUUAAAGCUAGAAACAUCAUGCUUAACAAAUAGGCUAGGAAACAACCUCCGUAGAUAACCGAAAGAAGCAUGUCCAAGUCGACGAUGCCACAACCAAACCUCCGAAGCUUUAUUCCGAUCCCCUGAAUUUCCGUCCACUGCAAGAGCUUGAGUCAACAUUCGAGAACUGUUUGAUGUCAGCUCCAAGUAGUAGAGCUUCCCUUUCCUAAUACCAUAACCAAUCGUCUUGCGAGUCCGAAUGUCCUUAAAAACACAAAAAGAAGGCCAAAAAAUCAAAAGACAAUGCAGGACGACAGUUAUUUGAGCAACAGAUAAUAAAUUAUAGUCAAGAGAAGGCACAACAAGUACGGUAUCAAGACUAAGGGUAUCUGAAAGGGAGACGGUUCCUUCCCCGAUAACAGGGGCAUGAUUACCAUUGGCGACACUGACGACAGUUUUGGUGGAUGGUUUUAGGCUACAUGUCUAAAAUCACAAGUCAUAUGUUCAGUAGCACCGGAAUCAAUUAUCCAUGUAUUAUUCGUAACAGAUGCAGAAACCUUUAAAGUUUUACCAUCGUUGUUUGUAUGUUCAGAAGCUACCUUAGCUUUGGCAAUCAAUGCACACGACUCAUUACAGGGGGGAUGACGAGUCCAAUGUGUCAUUGCUCUACGUGAGUUGAGUGCAACGUCUGAGGUGAUUGAUAGGGCCAAGAUUCCAAACCAACUAGGUCAACAAUGUGAGAUCCCUGGAACAAAAACAAACAGUAACACAAAAAAGGACAACCUUUUUUCCUUUUUCUUUUUUUUUUUUUUUUUUUUUUUUUUUUUUCUUUUUUUUCCUUUUUUUUUUCUUUUUUUUUUUUUUUUUCUUUUUUUCCUUUUUUUUUGAAUUCCUUCAGAACACGCAAAGCAAAAUAAAUGCACGUGGGGAGUUCCUUCAAAACACACAAAUCAAAAAAUAAAUGCAGGGAUCAUAUCAAAUCAGUUUAGCAGAACACAGGUUGGGCUGCAGAUGGUAUGAUGAGUCAAAUGCGUAGACGCCAGGAAGAGACAGAUCGGUUUCUGGUGCAGAAGAAAUCGUGGUUGUCAACCGGGAUUUGCAACGACAAGGUUUCUAGAUUAGGAUCUCGGUUUGUGGGAGUGCGAUGCAGCAACAGAUGGUAGUGGGUGACUGCAGGGAUCGGCUCAGUGAACUCGGAUCAGCAACGACGGCGUCGCUCGCUGGUGUGACAGUGCACUGCACAACUGGUUGCGCAACUAGUGAACUCGGAUCAGCAACGACGGCGUCGCUCGCUGGUGUGACAGUGCGCUGCACAACAAGCUGUGCAACUGGUGGUUCUUAUUUCUGCGCACAACGAGACUUUUUUCUUUUUUUCUAACCUAGGCUCUGGUGCCAAGAAGAGAAUGCUUUGAAUAAUGAUAUAUUCUUCUCAAUAAGAGGAACUUAUAGGUGUACAACCCUAACAUAAAAGGAAAGAAAACUAAUUACAAGUGAUUACAUGGGAUUACAUAUCAAUUAGGAUCCUACCUAAAAUACAAAAGUCAACAUAUUCUCUCUCUACAUCUCUCUCUCUCUCUCUCUCUCUCUCUCUCUCUCUCUCUCUCUCUCUCUCUAGGGUUCCGUGAUCUGUAUAUGCGUCUCGAUGGCUAUGGAAAUUGUGGUGGAUGCGGCGUCGUUUGACGCCGAGCUGUUGCAGCUCAAUGAUUUGUCUCCUUUGGCCCUCAAAUCGAAUCCGAGCUACGUCGAGUCGCUGUUCGAGCAGUGGCUUUCGCUUCCCGAUACUAAUCGCCUGGUACUUGAAAACCCAAUUUUUUUGUCUUCAAAAUUUGAAAUUUUUGGUGUUUUCGCAUUGUUUUGGUUGUGCAUCUUGUUGGGUUUCGAAGGAUUUAUGGGUGCAGUUUUUGGUUUUUGAAUUUUGGUGAGCUUGGUUUUUUGCUGUUGAAUUAAAAAUUUCUGUGUUUUUUCAUGUGUGUAUGUUUUGAGAUACACAUAAUUUGCAUGGAUUUGUAUAUGUGUUUGUUCUAGCCUGUGAAACCAGCAUGAGAGCUAAGAAAUAAUGAUGCUGAGUUGAUUUUAGUAUAUAUUGAUUUUCGUGCCCAUGGUAUUGAAUUUGUUCGGAAACGAUGACUUUGCGAUUAAUGAAGCAUUAAAGGGCACAUUUCAGUAUGGAAAAAGGGAUGAAAAUUGUAAAUUGUUAGCAAUGUUCGAAAUUACCUAAUGCCUUAAAGUAGUUACAAAUUUGUAAUUAGUUGUUGGAAAUGCUAAAGUUUAUAUUUUUUUUAAUUAGGAUACUGGAUACCUAUGAUUUACAUACUACAUAAUCUUUCAUCUUUUCUGAUGCAUGACAGUUUUUUCAUUUUCCCGACUCUAUGGUUGCAGGUGACACAAACUGCUAACUGAAGCAAAGGCAGGUAGGCCUCUGAAUGUUCAGGGAAAUUCUUCUAGUCCACAUGCCACUGCAGGCAGUACUUUGCCUUCUAUGUUUCCAACCAAAGUGGGACAAAGGGAAGGCCCCACAGUCCCGGAAAGAGACUCCACCUCUUCCAUCCUCUCGGGUGCGUUCAUCAGCCAGAUCUGAUGACAGGGCAGCUUUCAAGGAUGAUGCAUUGAAUGAGUUACGAGCAAAACGUUUGAAGCUGCAUGACCCUGAGGCUCACCGCAAGUUGAGAUAUGCUUCUCGUAGUGAAGAUGAUGGAUCAUCAGGGGAUGAUGCAAUGAUUGACAGUGAUGAUGAAAGGUCACAGGGACUAACUUUUGAUGUUAUAAAGGAGAUUACCAUUCGAAGGUCGAAACUUGCAAGUGGUUUAUGGAGCCCUUCUUGGAAGAGUUAAUUGUGGUUUGCGUUGUAAGGGUUGGAAUUGGGAGGUCAAAGUCUGGGACUAUCAAUGGUGGGAGCAGUACGGGCAGGCAUAGCAGCAACUGCAGCAGCUUUGGAAGCUGCGGCUGGUGUAGGGAAGUUGAUUGAUACGAGUGCCCCUGUUGAUUUUGGAAGAGAGUCAAAUCUAAAGCAUAAUUUUGAGCUGCCAAUAUCAUUGGCUGCUCUUCAGAAGUUUGGAAAGCCACAGGGUUCUUGGCAAGAAAGCAGCGAAUAGAAGCAAUAGUUGAGUGCCAAGUCCCAGAGAAUAAUGGGAGGAGGCAUGCGCUGAUGCUUACAGUUGGCGACUACAUGAGAAGAAGAGGGAUUCUCUGAACAUAUUAAAAACCACCACAGAAACAAGAAAGUUCAAAAAGAGAGAACAUAUUAAAAACAGAUCAAGGCAUGCAAAAAAAUACAGACUCUAUCUGCAAACUAGCUGAUUAAGCCAGAAAGUUUCCUAGCUUACAACUAUGUUUGGUUGACACAGUUUUGUUGGUAUGAACUCCAAUGGGAAUCCAUGCCAGCACAACCAUCUUAAUUUUUUGGAAAGACAUUGGUAUCACCCAGUGAGUCGUACGUAGUUUAGUUGGAGCAAUCUCAGUCUCUUCAUAUUUUUAAACGCCUUGGUACUGAAACUAGUGUUUUCAAGACUCGGCAAAUUCAAAGCCAGACCUUCAAUUUUUUCAGUUCCCUGCUAUCCGAAAAAAACAGACUCCAAAUAAGAGAAGGCUUUGCAUGAAAAAAAGUUAGAUUACUAACUUACAUAUGCUUACACGUUUAACAUAAAGUUGAUUGGGAAAGUACUUACAAAUUUGUCUAUCAAUACAUCAUUUACAUCUUCAGGACGCCACAAUCUACUCCGUUCUCUAGGGAAAUCGGGAUUUUCUGCAUGCACGAUAUCUCUGCCCAUAUACCGAAGCAAAUCAUGCAUCAUAAUCUUGUUUUCUCUAUUAAUAGUUACAAGGCACCGGUCAAGGAGGACCUUGAUUCCUGUUGUUGCAUAAAAGCCACAACCAUCCAAGAUUUGUAUGACAUCGUUCUUGUCCAUUCCGAUAAAAAAACAAGCUAUAUCGAGGAAUAUUCGCCUCUUGUAAUUAUCAUUUAGCUCGUUGUAGCUUAUUUUCAGUUGUGCCUGAAUUUCUCCACGAGGAAUUAUUUUCAAUUCAUCCAAUAUACUUCUCCAUUCAUCUACGCUUCGUUUGAAAAGAGUAGAUCCUAAAACUUCAAGAGCCAGCGACAAUCCUCCACAGUAAUUAACAACUUCUCUUUCGAGUGCAAGAUAUUGACUAGGACAACUACUACUUCUGAAAGCAUGCCAACUUAGGAGCUCAAGAGCUUCUUCUCGGUCCAUUACUUUCGCCCGAUAUAUCUUUUGAAUUGCAAAUUCUUUUAGCACACUUUCAUUUUUAGUUGUGAUGAUGAUUCUGCUCCCCGGGCCAAAAAGUGGCAAUUUCCAACUAAUUCACGUAAUUGCUUCACAUCGUCUACAUCAUCAACUAUGACAAGUACCUUUAAGCGUCGAAAUCUUUCCCUUACCAAGGCGGUCCCUGCAGCAACACUGCUUACCUUUGUCUUGGUUUGCAAGAUAUCAAAAAGAAGUUGUUUUUGCAAUUUUUCUAGCUUCUUUUCCCUCACUUUUUCAAGGAAACUUUUACCUUCAAAUCUUUCAUAAAAUUCGUUAUAAAUGGCUUUAGCAAUCGUUGUUUUACCUAUUCCACCCAUGCCCGAAAUUCCAAUCACACGAACAUCAUCUGAAUCUCCGAUGCCUAAAUAAUUACUAAUAUCUAGCACUCGAGUAUCUAUUCCGACUUGAUAGGGCGCUACGUCGAAGUAUUUGUUGUUCAACUUAGUAGUGACGUCAUUGGUAAUCAUCCUGAUAAACUUUGCUUCAUGCCUGGCAUUAGUCAAGUUGAGAAGCAAAACGAAGAUUGUUAUACAACGAAAUUGAACUAAUUAAUACACAAAAUUAUUUAUCAUGACUAGAGAUUUUAAUUAAGACAAUUUUUUUGAGGUGGUGUGUUUAAACUUAGCAAACAUCAAUUAAAAUUAAAAUAAGAAACACAAACAAAAAACCCAGCAUCCCUUCCGUCCGCAGCCAGUCGCCGGCAGCUUCCCAACUGUGAUUAGUGUAGCCUUAACAGUUUAAGCUUUAUUGUAUGAUUUUAUUACAGAGGUCUAAGAAAUCGCAUGAUUCCAAAUUAAUAAGCAAAGGUACAUUAAAGCCUUAAUUCAUAAGAAAAUAAAUUAGUAAGUACCCGUCGAAAGUGUUUCUGAGAUCCCAGCCAGGCAAAUUCGAAGCUUCAGUAAGAGCAGCUCUCCACCUCUCUACCUUUUUUCAUCUGUAUGUUUCAGAAACGAUUGUGCAAAACUACUAGUCUGUUUCCUGACAUGCGAAGGAUCAACGUCAUAGAAUAUCGGCAAAACUAAUUGCCCUAGCAUUCUUCUACACUCCAUGAUCUUUACCAGCUCCUCGAGACACCAGCUGGAGUCCGAGUACCGUCUUGAGAAGACGAUGAUAGAGAUCCUAGAACCCUGGAUUGCCUGCACAAGUUCGGUAGUUAUAUCUUCUCCUCUUCUUAGUUCGUCGUCAAUAAAGGCGUUGAUUCCGGCCUUUGUCAAUGCUUCGUGGAGGUGGCCCGUGAAGUUUUUACGUGUGUCUUCACCUCUGAAGCUUAUGAACACUUCGUAGAGCGAACCUUUUGAGAAGGAGGACAAGGACGGGGAGGCGGAGGAGGACGAUGAGGAUGAGAUUGAGGGUGAGGAGGUGGAGGAGGACGAUAAGGAUGAGGGCGAGGACGAGGUUUUAUCGGGGACGGAGAUAUUCAUUUGGCGAAAGACGAGGCCGAGGGAGCAGAGGAGGAAGAUGAGGACAUCAAAAACAAGACCGGAAUUGCGAUGUGCAUAGUGGUAGGACAGUAACACCAGCACCAUAAUUAACAGCUUCCCUAAGCUCAACCAGUUAUCCAUUGCCUUCAAUUUCUUUAGGCAAAUUGAAGGUUUUUUGGCGAUAUUGAUUUUCAUUUUUUCUACCGGAACUACUUUCUUCUUCUUAUAAUUAAUCAACCCGCCUAGGCGGCGCAGUUGACUGUAGACUUGAGUAUUGGUAAAUUGACUUAUGGUCCUACACCCUAAAUUCUACGAGGUGCUCUUUUUCUUCCACUAUAAAGCCAAAUUAGACACGGUAAAUUGACUUGUGGUCCUACACCCUAAAUUCCAGGAGGCACCCUUUUUUUCCACCUUAUCGCCAAAUUCUACGCAGUGUUUUCUGGUUCACACAAUGAUGAGAUACUUUUCAGUUUAUAGGAACACAGUCCAGUACACUGUACACCACUUAUAAAACAACUUCAAGAGGGCUAGUUUGAAAAUAUCCUACCGCGAAAUUUGAUUUGGUUUGGACCAAAUUUUGAUUUAGAUGAAAACUAGUAACAGUGCCUGCGCGUUGCUGCGGAUGUUUAAAAUGUUUUGAUAAUAUAUAAAUAUAGAAAACAUAAUUUAUUAAAGCUAGAUUUCUAUACCUAAGAUAAAGGUUGACAGUUUUCAUAAUUAUCAAAAGUUGGCAGUGUCCAAUUGCUCACUGUUCAAAAGAUAGAGAUGCUAUAAAAGCUUAUUUCAUCUACAUAAGUUCAUAGUAUCAUGUACUCAAAAUAAUCAUAGUAUCAAAAGAUUGGCAGUUUUCAACUGCUCAUCGUUCAAAUACGAAAAUAUACAUAUGUCCAUAUCAAAAGGUUGGCUCCGCACAUCUGCUGUGUUUAUGAUUUUUCCUGUUCAAUCUCUGGUCUUGCUUGUUUGGGAAUGGCCACCCUUUUUCUUGGCCACCAUGCUGUUGAAUUGGUGCCUAUUCUUUUUUGCUUUGCCCAUUAUUUUUCUCUUGAUAUAUAUUACGAAUUGGAAUCAGUAAGAAUUCCAUAUAAAAAACUAAAUUUGUCAAUCUAUUUAACUUAGUGCGAACUUCGUCAAACAACCAAGUAUAAUCCAGCAAGGUUAUUUUCUCUUUUUUUUUUUUUGAUCAAAAUGAAUUCUACUGUUCCCAUCUAUUUGCACAUCCCUUUAAAUUAUCGAAAACACAAAAGAAAUAUAUCUUGAUCCAUACCAAUUAAUGAUUUCCCAUUUACUCAAGUCAAACGUCAAAGCCAAUGAAUUGAUGAAGGAGCUAAAAAAGAGGGACAAAAAAAAAUCUCUAUUAUUCAAUUAUAUGGAGAUUUACCUGAUUGUACAAAAGGUUUGAAAAUUACCGUAAAAUUUGAAAAGAGAGAUGAGAUGGAGUGGAAAUCACAUACCAGCAUCAGGCUUAAAUUUGUAGUGCUCAUCUGAGAGAGCAGUGAUAGUGUUGAUGAGAGUGUAGGGAGAGAAACAAAAUGCAAAUCGUACGAGUUUGAGAGAAACUGCUUGAGGGACACUGCAGAUUGAUCGUUGAGAUUUGAGAAACCGAGGAAGCUGCAAUUUGAGACGAACUACUUUGCAUCAAACGUGGGGGAGUUUCUCUCCUCCACGUUUGAAUAGAAGAGGUAGUUUCAGAGUUGUCUGCAAUUAGUCCUAUCAGGAGCUUCUGCACUGGUUGAUGUCUCGGUCUUUUCCUUAGUCGCAUGUGCAUUGUAGACUUGGGUAGAUGAAAAGUAGAAAGGAAAUAAAAAUAUAAAGUCAAAGUUACCACUUAACUAUCUAUGUUGAUUCAUGUCCCACGCAUAAUAAGAAUAGUGAAUCAUUUUUCAUCUCGUGCACUGGUUUGUCAUUGUCAUUCGAAUUCACAAAUCCAUUUACUCCGAAUUUCUUAGUUAUCACCAGGGAAAGAAUGUAAUAAGCAAAAAUCUAUUUCUAGGUUGUCCCACUAAACUACCUGUUAAACCAUGGUAAAUCAAAACGGGAAAAAAAUUAUAAUACCUUUGUCAAACCUCUUGGGAUUCAAGUCCACCGACUCCACCCCAAUACUCAGUGGCGCCCCAGAAAUCUUGCACGUUCAGUAGCCAAGAUCAUGCAUGUAUCAGUAUGAAUAUGGAAGAGAAAAUAAAUGCAAUUUAUUAGAAUAAAGAAUAUGGGAUCAACAAAGUUUGUCCAAACUUACAGUGAGGCUAAUAAACAACAACUAAAGAUAAUUUUUCGUUUUGCUACAUGAGAGGGGCAUCCAAAAAUCCAAACCUGUCGAUACGGCACAACUGAGGAUGCAAACUUUAUCCAACUAAGCAAGGGGCUUGAUCUUGGAAAGACGGCCAGAAUGAACAACAAUGUAUUCACUUUAGUAAAAGUGCCAAGACAGUGAUUGGUGAACGUUAUUUCCCAGCUGGGUUAGUUUGGCUAUUCCUUUCUAUUGAAAAGGAGUCAGUUGUGCAUGAGUCACCACAUUUUGCUUCAUGGCGAAAAAUUUGAGGGAUCAAUAGUGUAUGGCCCUGAAUCCCAAAAGGAAAAAAUAACUCAACUAAGUAUAUAUAAUAUUAAACAUAUAAAGGGUAAGAUCAACCACAUCCCAUAGGAGAACAAUUAAACGCCACUCUCUCAGUUUCGAGUACAACUGCACUUUGUGAUUAAAAUUCACACAUGUUUCACAUAUGCUAAGAAGUAAUGUUCCUGUAGGUUUUUCAUCAUGAACGACAUUUGCAAUCUACUUUUCGAUUUCAAACCUUAAUUAUUCAUUGCCCAUUAAGAAAUGACUAUAUUGCCCGGAAACUCUACUCAUAGUUUAUAAAUCUGCAAUUUUCAAAGCUUAACCUUAAACAUUUAUCAUGCUGAAAAAAAUACUUAAGCAUCUUAAUUGGAUUCCCUACAAUUUGGUGGAGGUUGAAUGGAUUUUUCCUCCCAUUAUACCCCCGGAAAAUAUAAAUAAUCAUUGGAGACCGAGCAACACACACUCAUAAAUAAAAGAUUAGGAACCUUUGGUUCAGGAUAAACAUAAUGCAUACAGAAGAAUAAAAUUGCCAGAAAACAGAUCGAUGCACAGAGAGAUAGAGGCAUAAAGAGAGAACUUACAUCAGCUGUGCUCUCAAAUACAUAUGGUAAUCUGCAUACGAAGAAACAUAAUACUGAAACAGUUAUAAAUCAUCCUAUUCAAACAAAUCAAACGAAAUGCAUAAAGAUUACCUUAGUUUUUGAUUCUAUGAUUUUGUAUUUGACUCCACCUCCACGUUGUUCUUUGGUUGUCUCUUUUACUGAAUUAAGUAAUCGACUGAAUUACUUAAUUCAACUGAAUUUAAUCAGAGAGAUGAAAGCUUCUGUAUAAAAAAAUAUUUUAUGCUCUACACGCGUAGCAAAUCAUCAGUAACCUCCAAGAACCUAAUUGUACGAUAAACACUCUAGCAUUAACUACCCAAGAAUUAUAAUCAUGCUUAUUGCCAAAAAUGAUAAACAUGUUUACCUUGACUUCAUUUUUAAUGGCAUAUGUAAUAUACUUUCCAUCUGCAUUAAAAUAACCUUCUUCCCUCUGCUCGUUAAUCAAGUUGAAAGGUUCUGUUUGAAUCCCAUCCACAACAAAGUCCUUGUAAUCCUGCCAAAAGAUACCACCAAUCACUGGCUAUCGCUUCCGUUGAUCCAAUUAGCAGAAGUAUCCAACAAUUUCCUCGACUGAAAAAAAUCUUGCCAAUUUAGAAAAGAACUAUUCCAAAUUACGGAUGUACUCGAUUAAUUUAACCAAGAAUAUGCACGGCACCACCACUAUUAAGAAACAUCAUCAUACAAAGACAAAAGUUUUUACCAUCAGUUUUUAAAUUGCAACCAAAACAUGCAUAGAAAGAAUAAAAAUGACAACAAAGAUGGCAAAACAAUUAACCACACAUGUUGUUUAUCCAAAAAUGCUGAGAGCUUAUGCUUCUGUGACACAACAAGCUUCCUGCGUCACAUACACUAGAUCAAGUAGGCGUCAUGACAUAAAUUGAAAAGCAGACAAGAUCAAGAAGAUCCAAAAUUAUUGACAUAUAAUUAUAGUAAAUAAUUGCACAUGAAAAACUCUAGAGGAAGAUAGAUGAAUCUCCAUAUCAAGAAACCAAAGAACAUGACACUACUAAGGACUGUUGCUUCACAUGCAUAUCUGCUACUAUUUUAAACAAUUAUGUUAUAACAAGUAUAACUCCGCCGUGUAAGUUUAUCUUACAUUGCCGGUCCCAAGCCCGGAUAAAGGAGGAGGGGGAGGGCGUCAGGUAGUCGACAGCCGGCACUCCAUGAUUACGUCGAAUCCUUAUGAAAAUGAAUCCAGAACGAAAUCGCGCUAAAGCUAGGGCGUCACCCGUAAGUGGCACGCUGUGUGGCCCGAGCACAGUGAUAAGUGAGCAAGGGUCACUGUAUCUCCAUCGGCACCCGGAUGCAGUGUUAAAUGAGCAAGGGGGCUAUAGAAACUUCUUUUCGAACGACUCCACUCAAAGUUGUUUGGGAGCAUAUGCUCCUAUCAACUUUACACGGGAGACACAAAAGAAGUACUUUGAUCCUAUUAGACGGGGAAGGGUGAAGAAGCUAGGACAGAAGGGUAGAGUUCAAGAGAGCAAAAUGCGUUUAGGAACGUGGAAUAUAGGAACCUUGACGGGAAAAUCUAUGGAAGUAGUAGAAGUUAUGGUGAGGAGAAGGAUAAAUAUUAUGUGCCUACAAGAAACUAAGUGGGUUGGUCGUAAGGCAAAGGAUCUAGAAAACUCAGGGUUUAAACUAUGGUAUUCGGGCACAAAUAGAACGAGAAACGGUGUUGGCAUCAUCGUGGACAAGACCUUGACACAAGAUGUUGUAGAUGUCAAGAGGGUAGGAGAUAGAAUCAUGGCAAUCAAGAUUGUAAAUAGGACAAGAACUUAUCAAUGUGAUUAGUGCGUACGCACCUCAAGUAGGGUUGGAUACGAGUUCGAAGGAGAAAUUUUGGGAAGACCUUGGAGACUUGGUGCAAGGAAUUGCUCAGACGGAGAAGUUAUUUAUAGGAGGAGAUUUAAAUGGACACGUGGGCAGGGAGACAGGCAACUAUGGAGGUUUUCAUGGUGGCCAUGGUUUUGGGGAGAGAAACGAGGAUGGGGAAGCUAUCUUGGAUUUUGCAAUGGCAUAUGAUCUCUUCUUAGCCAACACCUUCUUUAAGAAGAGAGAAGAACAUGUGAUCACCUACAAGAGUGGGUCGUCAAAAACACAAAUAGAUUUUCUUCUAAUGAGGAAAGGGGAUCGUAUAACUUGUAAGGAUUGCAAAGUUAUACCAGGAGAGAGCGUGGCUAAUCAACAUCGCUUGUUGGUGAUGGAUGUACAUAUCAAAAGAGUGAGAAAAAAGAACAAGACUUGGAAGUGCCCAAGGACUAGAUGGUGGAAUCUAAAAGAAGAAAAACAAGCCAUUUUCAAAGAGAAAGUAAUCACCCAGUAUGUGUGGGAUAGAGAGGGGGAAGCUAACCAAAUGUGGGAUUCCAUGGCUAGUUGUAUCCGAAAAGUAGCAAAAGAGGUAUUAGGAGAGUCCAAGGGUUUUGCCCCACACCAAAAGGAAUCUUGGUGGUAGAAUGAGGAGGUACAAACAAAGGUGAAGGCUAAGAAGGAAUGUUGUAAAGCCUUCUACAAGGAUAGGACCGAUGAAAAUGGUGAAAGGUAUAGAAAAGCGAAGCAUGAGGCGAAGAAAGCUGUGAGAGAAGCUAAGUUAGUGGCUUAUGACGAUAUGUAUAAGCGACUAGAUACCAAAGAAGGAGAGUUGGAUAUCUAUAAACUAGCUAGAGUAAGGGAAAAGAAGACAAGGGACCUAAACCAAGUGAGGUGCAUCAAGGAUGAGGAUGGAAAUGUUCUUGCUACAGAGAACGCGGUUAAAGACAGAUGGAAAGGUUAUUUUCAUAAUCUUUUCAAUGAAGGACAUGAAAGGAGUGCUUCUUUAGGGGAGUUGAGUAACUCAGAAGAGUGUAGAAACUACUCUUUUUAUCGUAGAAUCCGGAAGGAAGAAGUGGUUGUUGCUUUGAAGAAGAUGAAGCAUAGAAAAGCAGUAGGCCCAGACGAUAUACCAAUCGAAGUGUGGAAAGUUUUGGGAGAGACAGGUAUAACAUGGCUCACUGACCUUUUCAAUAGGAUUUUGAAAACGAAGAAGAUGCCAAAUGAGUGGCGAACGAGCACUUUGGUGCCUAUCUACAAGAAUAAGGGUGAUGUACAAAAUUGCAUGAACUAUAGGGGUAUUAAGCUAAUGAGUCAUACAAUGAAGCUCUGGGAGAGAGUCAUUGAGCAUAGAUUGAGGCAAGAGACACGGGUUUCGGACAACCAAUUCGGGUUCAUGCCAGGGCGCUCAACCAUGGAGGCAAUCUAUCUCUUACGAAGAUUGAUGGAAAGAUAUAGAGAUGGGAAAAAUGAUUUACACAUGGUCUUUAUAGAUUUGGAAAAUGCGUAUGAUAGGGUCCCAAGAGACAUUCUUUGGAGGAUUUUAGAGAAGAAAGGAGUACGAGUAGCAUAUAUCCAAGCUAUACAGGAUAUGUAUGAAGGAGCAAAAACUGCCGUAAGAACUCAUGAAGGACAAACCGAAAGCUUUCCCAUAACUGUAGGAUUACAUCAAGGCUCAUCAUUAAGUCCUUACCUUUUUGCGUUGGUAAUGGAUGAGUUAACAGGACAUAUUCAAGAUGAUAUUCCUUGGUGUAUGCUUUUCGCAGACGAUAUAGUGUUGAUAGAUGAAACUCAGGAAGGGGUAAAUGCAAAGCUUAACCUUUGGAGAGAAGUGUUGGAAUCUAAAGGUCUUCGCCUAAACCGAUCAAAGACAAAAUAUAUGGAGUGCAAGUUCAGUGCAAAUGGAGGCCAAAACGAGUUAGGGGUGAGGAUCGGAGAUCAAGAAAUACCAAAGAGCGACCGUUUUUGUUACCUAGGAUCUAUCUUGCAAAAGAACGGAGAAUUAGACGGAGAUCUCAACCAUAGAAUACAAGCUGGAUGGAUGAAGUGGAAGAGUGCAUCCGGCGUGUUGUGUGACCGCCGUAUGCCACUGAAGCUCAAGGGAAAAUUUUAUAGGACGGCAAUAAGGCCGGCGAUGCUGUAUGGCACAGAAUGUUGGGCGGUGAAGCAUCAACACGUACACAAAAUGGGUGUAGCGGAGAUGAGGAUGCUUCAUUGGAUGUGUGGGCACACAAGAAAGGAUAAGAUUAGGAAUGAGAAUAUCCGGGGUAAAGUAGGAGUAGCCGAAAUUGAAGGAAAGAUGAGAGAAAAUCGGUUACGGUGGUUUGGACAUGUGCAAAGAAGGCCUACUGACGCUCCAAUUAGAAGAUGCGACUAUGGGACAGAGGUUCAGGGCCGAAGGGGUAGAGGAAGACCUAGGAAAACUUUGGAAGACCCUAAGAAAAGACUUAGAGUACUUGGAUCUAAUGGAGGACAUGACACAGGACAUAACACAAUGGCGUUCUAAGAUUCAUAUAGCCGAUCCCACUCAGUGACUUGGAUUUUCCAAGUCUCCAACCGAGAAGUUUUCCUCACUCGGGAAAUUAAGGGAACACUACCUCAACCUACAUGCUCCAUUCACAAAGCUUCAACAUACAAGCUUCAACAAAAGAAAAUUCAAAGAACUUAGCGAAGAAGGCUUUGGUGUAUUUAACACAAUACGUUGAAAUGAAGGAAAACUUAUUUAUUGAUAUCCCCGAUAAGUUACAAAUAUGUACAUAUACUUGAGUCAAAAUAAACAAACAAGAGGGAGCCUUCACAAAGGUUGCUUAGGAGAAGUCUCAGCAGUCGGCAGAGCCCCAGAAAAAGAAGGCACCGGAGGUGGAUCAUUCGGAGCCUCAGUACUGGACAGAACCCUAGAAGGAUGAGGCAUCAGAGGUUGAUCAUUUGGAGUUUUAUUACGCGGUACAGCCCCAGAAGACGAAGGCAAUAAAUGCCUUUGGAACAAACCCACAAAUCUCUGAUGAUCAAGUAAAACCUGACCAUCAGAUUCCUUCAUUUGGUCAAGCUUCCUCUUCAUGUUUGUAGCAUAGUCAUGUGCGAGCCGGUGCAACUGUUUAUUCUCAUGCUUGAGCCCUCUAAUCUCCUGUUUGAGACUCAUCACUUCAGCCGCCAAUGAUUCAACCUGGCGGGUUCAAGCAAAUAGGCGUUGGGCCAUAUUAGAUACAGAACCUGCACACUGAACACUGAGAGCCAGAGAAUCCUUAACAGCCAACUCAUCAGACCGUUUGGAAAGUAGUCUGUUAUCUUUGGGAGUGAGAAGGUUCCUGGCCACUACCGCAGCGGACAUAUCAUUCUUCAUCACGGAAUCCCUAACGGUAAGAGGACCAGUAGGGGAGACGAAGGAUGGGCGCCAUAUAUUGUCUGGUGAAGGCGGGGCUGCCUCUUAAAAAAGGUUCAAGUCAAAACGACGGUCGGAGGGGCCAGACAUUUUCAAAGGUGUUGAAGAGAGAAGAGUUCGGACAAAUCAAGAUCUUAGAAGUGCAAGAAUGGAGCUUCUACUGGUGGAUAUUCAAGUGUGCUUUGGAACUUAAUGUCAGCCCCUAUAAAAAUUUGCACUCGACGAAGCUUCAGAAAUCGAAGAGGCGCCUGCUCAGAAAUCGAAGAGGUGUUUGCUUUCUCAAAAGCUGGGCUGCUCAGAGACCACGAGGGUCGAUCUCAGAAAUCGAAGAGGCGUUUGCUUUCUCAAAAGCUGGGCUGCUCAAAGACCACGAAGACCGAUCUCAGAAAUCGAAGAGGCUUGCUUUCUCAAAAGUUGGGCUGCUCAGAGACCACGAGGGUCGAUCUCAGAAAUCGAAGAGGCACCUACUUUUCCAGCCUUGUCAGCACCUGUCACACGCACACUCAGCUUUGCGGAAAUUAUGGGCAUUCUGUCGAAGAUUUCUGGCGAAGUAGAAAGCACAUGAAUCGUACUGUUCAAUCACCCACUUCUCACACGCAACAGUAGCUCAUGGGUACCACAGAUAACUUUGCCAAAGUUCUCUGACAAAGUUGAGACACGUGAAGCUUGCAGCUCCCACUACAUCGCUCUGACCAAGAAGGGUAAAAGAAUAGCAAAGAAACAACACUAACAAAGUUUACACAUAAAUUUUGAAGGUCUAGCUACCAUAUUAUUACCCACAAGGGUAAAGGAACAGUACCACUGCUGGAUAAUUGGAAAGUCCCGAUGUGUCAACCUCUGUGCUUCGUGGCAAGGUAGACUAGCAAACUUGCCCAACCUUUACUCACAUUCGAGAAAACACUCCCAACAAGAUUGCUUGCUCCAAAAUCGAAGAGGCACCGCCCUCCGAAUCUCAAGAGCCAGACUCCCAACAUGAUUACUUUCUCAAAAAUCGAAGAAAGGGUAAAGGAACAGUACCACUGCUGGAUAAUUGGAAAGUCCUUGUGUGUCAACCUCUGUGCUUCGUGGCAAGGUAGACUAGCAAACAUGCCCAACCUUUACUCACAUUCGAGAAAAUACUCCCAACAAGAUUGCUUGCUCCAAAAUCGAAGAGGCACCGCCCUCCGAAUCUUGAGAGCUAGACUCCCAACAUGAUUACUUUCUCAAAAAUCGAAGAGAGGGUAAAGGAACAGUACCACUGCUGGAUAAUUGGAAAGUCCCUGUGUGUCAACCUCUGUGCUUCGUGGCAAGGUAGACUAGCAAACAUGCCCAACCUUUACUCACAUUCGAGAAAACACUCCCAACAAGAUUGCUUGCUCCAAAAUCGAAGAGGCACCGCCCUCCGAAUCUCGAGAGCCAAACUCCCAACAUGAUUACUUUCUCAAAAAUCGAAGAGACACCGCUUUUCGAAUCCCGAGAGCCAGACCCCCAGCAGGAUUGCUUUCUCAAAAAUCGAAGAGGCAUCGUUCUCCGAAUCUCGAGAGCCAGAUCCCCGACAGGAUUGCUUGUUCGAAAACCGAAGAGGCACCACUUUCCCAACUUCAAGAGCUGGAUCUCCUUGGAUAAAGCUUGUCUGUAAUCUUCACAUGCAACAUCAGCUUUCCAGAUACCACAGACCACUUUUUCAAAACGCUCUGACAUAGUUAAAACAUGUGAAGCUUGCAGCUCCCACUACCGUGCUAUGACCAAGCAGGGUAAAGGAAUAGCAUUAUUACUUGAUGUUAAGGAGACUCCUAUAUAUGUCGACCUUCAUCCCCAACGGACAGGCAGACCUGCAAAAAUGCUCAACCCUCCCUCUUAUCUGAGAGGGCACUCCCAACGAAGCCUUUCGAAAUAUUCAGCUUUCUUUCCCCCCCCCCGAUAAUACCUCUGUAAACAAGCUAUACUAGAGCAAGAAUAUCUCAUAUCAUCAGGGUUAAAAGCAAGAGUAUCCCAUAUCAUGCUUUUUCCCUGUCUUUUCCUUUGGCCUUGUUCUUACCUGCAAGACAAGGAGAAAGAGAGCAAUCAGUCAGCACUUGGAAUCAAGCUUCCAGCCAGGAACUGACUGCCUGGAACCCCUUACCUGAUUACUUACCUGGCAUUGCUUUCGAGUUCUCAUCUUCAACAUCUUAUGCUUCCAGGGAAGAUACCGCAUCUGCCUGAGGAACAGAUAGGGCAAGUGAGAAGGAUACAAGGAAGCAUGUGGAGACAAGCGUAACAGCACACGUGCCGAUACAUCCACUACUCUGUCGAAAGCAAAAGUAUCCCAUAUCAGCAGGGUCGAACGUACUCUAGAUUUGAUGGACUUGUUUUGACCCUCAAAUUCUUCAGUCGACCUUAUACUCUGGAGGAAACUAGAAAACCCUCCAGCCCAGUUCAAGAAUAAGCCUGUGGAAAGUUACUUCUUCAAAAGCAAAAGUAUCCCAUAUCAUCUCUUCUCAUUUUUCUUCUCUUUAUCCUUCAUACUGCCUGCAAGAUAGGGAGAAUGUGAACAAUCAGCAGGAGCUUUGAUUGCUUACCUUGUCUGUCACUUUCAGCAGAUCCCCUAGCUCGGCGACUUGGGGGACUCUUACUACAUGGUUUGUAUCGCGCUUGACCAAGCCUGAAACUACAAGUAAGCUUCAAGUGAAAUUGAUACAUUACCUUGUGCAUCUCCACCAGUUACAGAUAUCACCCCUGGAUGGAGGAAGAGUACUUCCAGAGAAGAUGCCACAUCUACCUAUGAGACAGAUAAGGCAAGUCAAGACGAUACCACACUCCGGUACUUAGAAGUUUCGUGGUUACGAGAUAAUUCUCCCACAAUAUUUCCUAAUGUCAUUUGUACUAAAUCAUUCACUUGUACUCACUAAAGGAGAGCUUGAACCUAUGUACUUGUGUAAACCCUUCACAAUUAAUGAGAACUCCUCUAUUCCGUGGACGUAGCCAAUCUGGGUGAACCACGUACAUCUUGUGUUUGCUUUCCUAUCUCUAUCCAUUUAUAUACUUAUCCACACUAAUGACCGGAGCAAUCUAGCGAAGAUCACAAAAAGUGACCGUUUUCGCUACCUAGGAUCUAUCUUGCAAGAGAACGGAGAAUUAUAUGGAGAUCUCAACCAUAGAAUACAAGUUGGAUGGAUGAAGUGUAAGAGUGCAUCCGGCGUGUUGUGUGACCGUCGUAGGCCACUGAAGCUUAAGGGAAAAUUUUAUAGGACGGAAAUAAGGUCAGCGAUGUUGUAUGGCACAGAAUGUUGGGCGGUGAAGCAUCAACAUGUACACAAAAUAGGUGUAGCGGAGAUGAGGAUGCUUCGUGAGAUGUAUGGGCACACGAGAAAGGAUAAGAUUGGGAAUGAUGAUAUCCGAGGUAAAGUAGGAGUAGCCAAAAUUGAAGGAAAUAUGAGAGAAAAUCGGUUCCGGUGGUUUGGACAUGUGCAAAGAAGGCCUACUGACGCUCCGGUUCGAAAAUGUGACUACGGGACAGAGGUUCAGGGCCGAAGGGGUAAAGGAAGACCUAGGAAAACUUUGGAAGAGACCCUAAGAAAAUACUUGAGUACUUGGAUCUAACGGAGGACAUGACACAAAACCGAGCGCAAUAGCGUUCUAGGAUUCAUAUAGCCGACCCCACUUAGUGGGAAAAGGCUUUGUUGUUGUUGUUGUUGUUGAUGUUAUAACAAGUAUAAGAGAGAGGAAAAAUCACUACUGAACCGAAAAUGAAAAAGGGGGAAAACCUGGAAUGCCAUGCAGUGCCGAAAUCACUACUUAGCAACAAAAGUGCCCUGCUAUGCUUCAUGACGUCACUUUCAAAACUAUUAUCCAAAGAUAAUGACACAUACAAAGACUUCUCAUCCCCAGAUACAUCUGAUUUGCUGUUAAGUGCCUUAUAUUGUCUACUUCCUGCCAUAAACGCAUGCUUAGCAGCCUCAUAUAACGGAAAAAGAACUUGUGUUGAAAUCCCCAACUUAUGAUCCCUAUUCCAAAAAACUGAGUUGCCAUCAACUGAGCGCAGCACAGUACUGUCAUCAGAUGAGGGUGAGGAAUGGCCUGCCUCUUUAUUCAGCUUGGAAAACUGGGACGGGUGAAGAAAUCCCACUUCAUCUCUGGGUUCAAUCAAGAGGAAAGAACAAUGUUUAAGACAAUGACAUUACUACAUAUUCCAAAAACACAACUGAGAAUCCUUCCAAAAUUAAAAAAAAAAAGAACACCUCUAAACAAAAUCAUAACGCACCCACAAUUACACACACACACAAUUCAAAAACUUUCAGCAUAAGAAUAAGGCAUACUUGGACCGUUAUCGAAAUCCCAGACUCAGUAACAGUAAUGAACUUACACUGAAUCAACAUUUUGAAUUUGAACUAACACUGAAUGGACAUUUUCCAAAAAAUAUGAAAUCCAAGUAAAAUCAAGCUGUUACUUUUACAUAUGCAUGGAUCAACUCAUGCGGGAUCAAAUAUCUGUACUUUUCGACACGGAAAUUACACUUUGUGAAGGUACACCAACCAAGCACGAAUAAAACCUAUAUAUACAAAACUCUAUGGGGCAUUUCAUCGAACACAAAGUCUGCGUCUUUACUGAAAACAGAGAAGUUAAACCUGCAAUCACUCAUUAUCUACUAACAUACAAGUACGAAUUACUUACAUUUGGGGAUCGGAUUCCAAGAUACAUUCGAAUUGAUUCAGAAGAUCGACCGUGUCUGCUUCGGAACAACGCAGCUCCUCUCCUUCCAUAUUUUCUGUUUGUUUCCCAAGAAAAUCCAAGGGAAAAGAAAUCUGAGGAAAAAUGACAGCUUUAUACGAUGUUGGAACAAAAUGGUAAAUUAAUUAAAAAAAAUAACUACGUGGAAGUUUUUUAUUCGUUGUUGCAAUAAGUUGCAGGAAAAAGUAAUGAUGCUGGCCGCAGAUGAACCAGUUUCGGGCCAAUGUCACACUAACACGUAUACACCUUCCUUCGACUUUUCUUUUCUUGUAUAAAAUUUUGGAGCUGCUAUGGCUAUUCUCUCUCUCUCUCUCUCUCUCUCUCUCUCUCUCUCUCUGAGUAGGCCUAGCAAACGGGUCGUGUCUGUCGUGUUCGUGUUGUUUUUGUGUAACACCUAUUAUCUUAACGGAUCGUAUCGUGUCACACCUGUUAUCUUAACAGGUCGGGUCACUUUACCCAACGGGUAAAAUGACCCAACCAGUUAUGACCUGUUAAGAAAAAUAUAUUUUUUUCUUAAAUUUGCACAUACCACACAUUGUCACUUAAAUAUUACUUCAAAACAUUAAAACACAUUUAUCGUUUUAGUACUACAUCUACACUUGAAAAUAAGAUCAUAAUAAAAAAAAGGGUAAAUUACAUAGUAGCCCCUCAGGUUUGAGGUCUAUUGCAAUCUUAUACAACAUCUUUAAAACAUUUCACUUUCAUACCUCAAGUACUAUUUUAUUUCAAUUUUAUACAACCGUUAGAUUUUCCAUCCAUUGAUCUGUUAAAUGCUGACGUGCCUGCCACAUAUAUGACACGUGGCUGCCAAAUGUCUGCCACGUGGCAAAUAAAAAUAAUUUUUUAAUUUAAAAAAAAAAACAUAUCUGCCACUUUUUUUUUCUCUUUUUCUUCUUCUUCUCUUUCUCUUUCUUCUUCUUCUGGGUUGGGACCCCUUUUUUUUUUUUUUUCCUUCUUCUUCUUCUUCCUCCUCAUCCUCUUUCUUCUUCUGUUCUUCUUCUUCCUCCUUCUUCUUAUGGGUUCCGUCCCUUUUUUUUUUUUUCCUCUUUCUUCUUCUUCUUCUCUUUCUCUUUCUUUUUCUUCUGGGUUCGGACCCUUUUUUUUUUCUUUUUUUUUUCUUCUUCUUCUUCUUCUCCCUCCUCCUCCUCUUUCUUCUUCCCUUCUUCUUCUUCCUUCUUCUUCUUCUGGGUUCGGUCCCUUUCUUUUUUUUUUUUUUUUUCUUUUCUUCUUCUUCUUCUUCUUCCUCAUCCUCCUCCUCUUUCUUCUUCUCUUCUUCUUUUUCCUCCUUCUUUUUCUGGGUUCGGUCCCCUUUUUUUUUUUCUUCUUCUUCUUCUUCUUCUUCCUCCUCCUCCUCCUCCUCUUUCUUCUUCUUCCUUCUUCUUCUGGGUUCGGACCCCUUUCUUUUUUUUUCUUUUUUUUUCUUCUUCUUCUUUCUCCUCCCUCCUCUUUCUUCUUCUCUUCUUCUUCUUCCUCCUUCUUCUGGGUUCGGUCCCUUUCUUUUUCUUCUUCUUCUUCUUCCUCAUCCUCCUCCUCUUUCUUCUUCUCUUCUUCUUCUUCCUCCUUUUUCUGGGUUCGGUCCCUUUUUUUUUUUCUUCUUCUUCUUCCUCCUCCUCCUCCUCCUCUUUCUUCUUCUUCCUCCUUCUUCUGGGUUCGGACCCUUUUUUUUUUUUUUUUUUCUUCUUCUUCUUCCUCCUCCUCCUCCUCUUUCUUCUUCUUCCUCCUUCUUCUAGGUUCUGUCUUUUUUUUUUCUUCUUCUUCUUCCAAUUUCAGGUUUUUAAAAAAUAAAAAAAAAUUAUUUUAUUUGCCACGUGGCAGACAUUUGGCAGCCACGUGUCAUAUAUGUGGCAGCCACGUCAGCAUUACAGAUCCAUGGAUGGAAAAUCUAACGGUUGUAUGAAAUUGAAAUAAAAUAGUACUUGAGGUAUGAAAGUGAAAUGUUUUAAAGAUGUUGUAUAAGAUUGCAAUAGACCUCAAACCUGAGGGGCUACUAUGUAAUUUACCCUAAAAAAAACAAUCAAACACUACUAGUCUAUUACAAAAUAUUAAAUGUGCAAGGAUAUGCAAAAUGAAAGAGUUUUUGUUUUCAAGGUUGUGAAGCAUUUCAUUAAGUAUAACAUAAGAUUUUGUGGUAUCCACCAGUGAAAAUAUUUUAAAUUGAAUAUCGAGUUCAUUCAUUGUAUUCAUAUAGGGUCAAUGAGUGUAGCUGUAAAAAAAUCAUCAAAAUCGGAGUUAAAUUAACCGUUAAAUCAUGAUUUUGCGUUGACAAUCGUCGAAAAGUUUUGUCCUGUUACUUGAUCAUUGAAUGUUUGCUUUUUGCAAUUUUUGGCGUGUGCGAUCUCGAAGCAUAUACAAACAAGUUUGACGGUUGGAUCGUUGAAAUUAGUUUCAUAGAAUGCGUAUCUCAUCAAAACGAUAGAUUCACGAACACAUAGAGUUUUAUUUAUCCUUUCAUUAAGUAUAACAUAAGAUUUUGUGAUAUCCACUUGUGUAAAUAUUUUAAAUUGAAGAUCAAAUUCAUUCAUUGCAUUCAUAUAGGGUCAAGGAGUGUAGCUGUAAAAAAAUCAUCAAAAUCAGAGUUAGAUUAACCGUUAAAUCAUGAUUUUGCGUUGACAAUCGUCGAAAAGUUUUGUCCUGUUACUUGAUCUUUGAAUGUUUGCUUUUUGCAAUUUUUGGCGUAUGCGAUCUCGAAGCAUAUACAAACAAGUUUGACGGUUGGAUCAUUGAAAUUAGUUUCAUAGGAUGCGUAUCUCAUCAAAACGAUGGAUUCACUAAUACUUAAGAGUUUAUUUAUACUUUCAUUAAGCAUAACAUAAGUUUUUGUGGUAUCCACUUGUAUAAAUAUUUUAAAUUGAAGAUUGAAUUCACUCAUUGUAUUCAUAUAGGGUCAAUGAGUGUAACUGUAAAAAAUCAUCAAAAUCGGAGUUAAAAUAACCGUUAAUAGUAAUUUUUCGUUUAUAAUCGUCGAAAAGUUUUGUCUCGUUACUUGAUCUCUGAAUGUUUGUUUUUUGCGAUUUUUGGCGUAUGCGAUCUAGCAUAUACAAACAAUUUUGACAGUUGGAUCGUUGAAAUUAGUUUCGUAGGAUGCGUAUCCCAUCAAAAUGAUAUAUUCACUAACAUUUAAAAGUUUAUUUAUACUUUCAUUAAGCAUAACAUAAGUUUUUGUGGUAUCCACUUGUGUAAAUAUUUUAAAUUGAAAAUCAAAUUCAAUCAUUGUAUUCAUAUAGGGUCAAGGAGUGUAGCUGUAAAAAAUCAUCAAAAUCGGAGUUAAAAUAACCGUUAAAUCGUGAUUUUUUCGUUUAUAACCGUCGAAAAGUUUUGUCCCGUUACUUGAUCUCUGAAUGUUUGUUUUUUACGAUUUUUGGCGUAUGCGAUCUCGAAGCAUGUACAAACAAGUUUGACGGUUUGAUCAUUGAAAUUAGUUUUGUAGAAUAUGUAUCUCAUCAAAACAAUAUAUUCAAUAACACUUGAGAGUUUAUUUAUCCUUUUAUUAAGUAUAACAUAAGAUUUUGUGGUAUCUACUUGUAUAAAUAUUUUAAAUUGAAGAUCGAAUUCCUUCAUUGUAUUCAUAUAGGGACAAGGAGUGUAGCUAUAAAAAAUCAUCAAAAUCGGAGUUAAAAUAACCGUUAGAUUGUGAAUUUUUGUUUAUAACCGUCGAAAAGUUUUGUCCCGUUACUUGAUCUCUGAAUGUUUGUUUUUUGUGAUUUUUGGCGUAUACGAUCUCGAAGCAUAUACAAACAAUUUUGACGGUUGCAUCGUUGAAAUUAGUUUUGUAGGAUGCGUAUCCCAUCAAAAUGAUAGAUUCACUAGCACUUAGAGUUUAUUUAUAUUUUCAUUAAGCAUAACAUAAGUUUUUGUGGUAUCCACUAGUGUAAAUAUUUUAAAUUGAAGAUCAAAUUCAAUCAUUGUAUUAAUAUAGGGUCAAUGAGUGUAGCUGUAAAAAAUCAUCAAAAUCGGAGUUAAAAUAACCGUUAAAUCGUGAUUUUUUGUUUAUAACCUUCGAAAAGUUUUGUCCCGCUUCUUGAUUUCUAAAUGUUUGUUUUUUACGAUUUUUGGCGUAUGCGAUCUCUGAAUUAUAAUUAUUAUAGUUUUUAGAGGUAUAAAAUUGUUGAAUUAAUAUAUAUAAUUAUUAUAGUAUUUUUUAGGGUUAUAAAAUUAAUAUUUUGCUUAUCGUGUUAACCACGUGUAUACCCGAACCAACCCGUUAUCUUAACAGGUGCUUAUCGGGUUACCCGAUAACGACCCGAUUCGUUAUCGUGUCGACCCGAACACCUGUAAAUUUCGUGUCAUGUCGGACCUGGUUAUCGGGUCGUGUCAGGAAUUGCCAGGCCUUGGGGCGUGUCAGAAUCUGUCAACCAAACUGAUCCAAUCCACACGUAGAAUGAGAAACUAAUAUUUGGCAUAGGCUAAACCCUAUCUUCCAGAUGGCUGACUUUUCAAACAAAAUAAAAGCCACACGUCCACACUUGAAUCUGUCAACCAAUUUGAUCAAAUCCACACGUAGAAUGAGAGGCUGAUAUGUGGCAUAGGGUAAAGCCAAUCUUUCAGAUGGCUGACCUUUCAAACAAGAUCAAAGUCACACGUCCACAUGUCCACACUUGAAUCUGUUAACCAAACUGAUCCAAUUCACACGUAGAAUAAGAGAUUAAUAUGUGGCAUAGGCUAAAGCCUAUCUUCAAGAUGGCUGACUUUUCAAACAAAAUAAAAGCCACACUUCCACACUUGAAUCUGUCGACCAAACUGAUCAAAUCCACACGUAGAAUGAGAGGCUGAUAUGUGGCAUAGGCUAAAGCCUAUCUUCCAGAUGGCUGACUUUUCAAACAAGAUUAAAGUCAUACGUCCACACCUCCACACUUGAAUCUGUUAACCAAAUUGAUCAAAUCCACACAUAGAACGAGAGGCUAAUCUGUGGCAUAUGCUAAAUCCUAUCUUCCAGAUUGCUGACUUUUCAAACAAGAUCAAAGCCACAUGUCUACACUUGAAUCUGUCAACCAAACUGAUCCAAUCCACACGUAGAAUGAGAGGCUGAUCUGUGGCAUAGGCUAAAGCCUAUCUUCCAGAUGGCUGACUUUUCAAACAAGAUUAAAGUCAUACGUCCACACCUCCACACUUGAAUCUGUUAACCAAAUUGAUCAAAUCCACACAUAGAACGAGAGGCUAAUCUGUGGCAUAUGCUAAAUCCUAUCUUCCAGAUUGCUGACUUUUCAAACAAGAUCAAAGCCACAUGUCUACACUUGAAUCUGUCAACCAAACUGAUCCAAUCCACACGUAGAAUGAGAGACUUAUAUGUGGCAUAGACUAAACUCUAUCUUCCAGAUGACUGACUUUUCAAACAAAAUAAAAGUCAUAUAUCCACACUUGAAUCUGUCAACCAAAUUGAUCAAAUCCACACGUAGAAUGAGAGGCUGAUAUGUGGCAUAGGCUAAAGUCUAUCUUCCAGAUUGCUGACUUUUCAAACAAGAUAAAAGCCACACGUCCAUACGUCCACACUUGAAUCUGUCAACCAAACUGAUCCAAUCCACACGUAGAUUAAGAGACUAAUAUGUGGCAUAGGCUAAAGCCUAUCUUCCAUAUGGCUGACUUUUCAAACAAAAUAAAAGCCACACGUCCACACUUGAAUUUGUCGACCAAACUGAUCAAAUCCACACGUAGAAUGAGAGGCUGAUUCGUGGCAUAGGCUAAAGCCUAUCUUCUAGAUGACUGACUUUUCAAACAAGAUAAAAGCCACACGUCCACACUUGAAUCUGCCAACCAAACUGAUCCAAUCCACACGUCCACACGCCACAUGUCACAUCCCCGCCCCGGCUCGACUCCGCCGUAGCACGAUAUUGUCCGUUUUAGACCCCGACCACCCCCUCACGAUUUUGUUUAUGGGAACUUACGCGAGAACUUCCCAGUGGGUCACCCAUCUUGGGAUUGCUCUUGCACCAUUCUCGCUUAACUUCAGAGUUCCUACGGAACCCGAAACUAAUAAGCGAUUGGCUCUGAUACAAAAUUGUCAGAUCCGGCCCGAGCUCCACCACACCCCGAGCUCGACUCCAAUGUAGCACGAUAUUGUCUGCUUUGGGCCCCGACCACGCCCUCACAGUUUUGUUUCUGGGAACUCACGCGAGAACUUCCUAGUGAGUGACCCAUCAUAGGAUUGCUCUCGAGCCAUUCUCGCUUGACUUCGGAGUUCCUACGGAACCCGAAGCCAGUGAGCUCCCAAAAUGCCUCGUGCUAGGUAGAGAUGUGAAUAUACAUAUGAGGCUUACAUGAUCCACACCCCUGGACGAUGUGGGAUCUUACACCACGCAUCCCAAAUCAAUUUGAAUUGUACUGUUUGCUUGGAGAUAUAAUUAUGUCCUUUAUUUUAUCAAACCCAUACUUGCAUAAGGAGUCAAAAUCUCCUACUGAUGCAUUCCACGUGGCAAGAAUCAAAAGGCAUAUACCAUUUGUAUUCAUGUGAUAAUCAUCCCAUCCUACUACAUCAUCUGAUGUCGUGCCUUAAUGCACAUCCAUAUUCCAUCAUAUUUUGGGGCUAUAAUUAUUCGAGUAUAUAUAAUUAUUAUAAUUAUUAUAGUUAAUUUAAUAUAUAUAUAUAUAUAUAUUAUAGUUUUUAGGGUAUAAAAUUGUUAAAUUAAUAUAUAUUAUUUUUAUAUUAUUUUUUUUAGGAUUAUAAAAUUAUAAAAUUAAUAUUCUGUUUAUCGUGUUUCGUGUUACCCACGUAUAUACCGUAUAUACCUGAACCAACCCGUUAUCUUAACAUGUGCUUAUCGGGUUACCCGAUAACGAUCCGAUUUGUUAUCGUAUCGAUUCGAACAUGUGUUAAUUUCGUGUCGUGUCGUGUCUGGUUAUCUGUCGUGUCAGGAAUUGCAGGCCUACCUCUCUGAGCAUCAAUCGCCGAAGGAUUUUCUAUCAUUUUCCCUCACUUUCUCCCGUUUUCUCUCUCGCCAAACACUCCAAUUCCUUAAGGAUCUGAGGUUUCUUCCACUUCAAAUCUCACCUUUUUUUUCUUUCCAAUUGGGCAAAAAGGCAUUGAUUUGAAACGAAUAUUAUAAUAGAAAGGAAAGCGCUUUGGGGGGAUUAGAAUUUCUGAAUCUAGGGUUCCGUGAUCUGUAUAUGCUUCUUGAUGACUAUGGAAAUCGUGGUGGAUGCGGCGUCGUUUGACGCCGAGCUGUUGCAGCUCAAUGAGGUGUCCCCUUUGGCCCUCAAAUCGAAUCCGAGCUACGUCGAGUCGCUGUUCGAGCAGUGGCUUUCGCUUCCCAAUACUAAUCGCCUGGUACUUGAAAACCCAAAUUUUUUUGUCUUCAAAAUUUGAAAUUUUUGGUGUUUUCGCAUUGUUUUGGUUGUGCAUCUUGUUGGGUUUCGAAGGAUUUAUGGGUGCAGUUUUUGGUUUUUGAAUUUUGGUGAGCUUGGUUUUUUGCUGUUGAAUUAAAAAUUUCUGUGUUUUUUCAUGUGUGUAUGUUUUGAGAUACACAUAAUUUGCAUGGAUUUGUAUAUGUGUUUGUUCUAGCCUGUGAAACCAGCAUGAGAGCUAAGAAAUAAUGAUGCUGAGUUGAUUUUAGUAUAUAUUGAUUUUCGUGCCCAUGGUAUUGAAUUUGUUCGGAAACGAUGACUUUGCGAUUAAUGAAGCAUUAAAGGGCACAUUUCAGUAUGGAAAAAGGGAUGAAAAUUGUAAAUUGUUAGCAAUGUUCGAAAUUACCUAAUGCCUUAAAGUAGUUACAAAUUUGUAAUUAGUUGUUGGAAAUGCUAAAGUUUAUAUAUUUUUUUUAAUUAGGAUACUGGAUACCUAUGAUUUACAUACUACAUAAUCUUUCAUCUUUUCUGAUGCAUGACAGUUUUUUCAUUUUCCCGACUCUAUGGUUGCAGGUGACACAACUGCUAACUGAAGCAAAGGCAGGUAGGCCUCUGAAUGUUCAGGGAAAUUCUUCUAGUCCACAUGCCACUGCAGGCAGUACUUUGCCUUCUAUGUUUCCAACCAAAGUGGGACAAAGGGAAGGCCCCACAGUCCCGGAAAGAGACUCCACCUCUUCCAUCCUCUCGGGUGCGUUCAUCAGCCAGAUCUGAUGACAGGGCAGCUUUCAAGGAUGAUGCAUUGAAUGAGUUACGAGCAAAACGUUUGAAGCUGCAUGACCCUGAGGCUCACCGCAAGUUGAGAUAUGCUUCUCGUAGUGAAGAUGAUGGAUCAUCAGGGGAUGAUGCAAUGAUUGACAGUGAUGAUGAAAGGUCACAGGGACUAACUUUUGAUGUUAUAAAGGAGAUUACCAUUCGAAGGUCGAAACUUGCAAGUGGUUUAUGGAGCCCUUCUUGGAAGAGUUAAUUGUGGUUUGCGUUGUAAGGGUUGGAAUUGGGAGGUCAAAGUCUGGGACUAUCAAUGGUGGGAGCAGUACGGGCAGGCAUAGCAGCAACUGCAGCAGCUUUGGAAGCUGCGGCUGGUGUAGGGAAGUUGAUUGAUACGAGUGCCCCUGUUGAUUUUGGAAGAGAGUCAAAUCUAAAGCAUAAUUUUGAGCUGCCAAUAUCAUUGGCUGCUCUUCAGAAGUUUGGAAAGCCACAGGGUUCUUGGCAAGAAAGCAGCGAAUAGAAGCAAUAGUUGAGUGCCAAGUCCCAGAGAAUAAUGGGAGGAGGCAUGCGCUGAUGCUUACAGUUGGCGACUACAUGAGAAGAAGAGGGAUUCUCUGAACAUAUUAAAAACCACCACAGAAACAAGAAAGUUCAAAAAGAGAGAACAUAUUAAAAACAGAUCAAGGCAUGCAAAAAAAUACAGACUCUAUCUGCAAACUAGCUGAUUAAGCCAGAAAGUUUCCUAGCUUACAUAGUCGUCGUCGUCUUGGUCCUCCUCCUCAUCAUCACCCUCAUCAUCAUCAUCCGCAACUUCUUGGUCCUGAUCAUCGUCUUAUUCCUCAUCCUCCUCAUUAAAAUCCUUCUCAUCAUCCUCAUCGUGUUGUCAUCAUCCUCAUCAAAAUCAUCAUCUUCAUAAUCCUCAUCAAAAUCAUCACCUUUGGUAGAAAUUUCUUCUAAGGCCCGUUCGUAAGGGAUAUAAUGGUAAUCAAAUAAUGAACCUUUGAAAGUCAUAAGUUUGUCGCAUACUAAACGUACCCCUAUUUUCUUCACCGGACAAUGUGCAAUAACAUGGACCAAAUCGCUUUCUCCCAAAUUGAACUCAGUUUCCGACAACGAUAAAUUUGCCAGCCAAAUCAUCUCUUCAAUGAGAAAAAGAUCUCCUAGUUCGACACAAAAACUAGUACCCUCGUUGAUGUAAUCACGAGGAACAAAAGCCAGGCACACAGCCAACGCUUUUGCAUUACAUCCAAUUUCCUUGGGCACUUCAAAAGAGACUUGGGUACCCUCGUUGACAUGAUUGAACCAAGUGGGAAUUUGUCUUCCUACAAAACUCAUGGUUCCACCUCCUGUCCAUCCCUAUACCAUGUGGAACAACAUUUGUGUUAGUACUACAUACAUAACACACAUAUUUGCGAUGGGGGAGGAGAGAGGAGUGGUGUGGAAGAGAGAGAGUACCUGUAUCGUGCUAUCCUUAAGAAGGAAAUCCAUGACAUUGUUGUGUGUUAUCAUACAAAGAUGGAGUCCCGAGUUUAACGCGCUAUCCAAGCCUGGAAACUCAAUGAGUUUCGGGGAAAAGAGACUCACCAUUGUUGACAUGCCUGAAAAAUCUGGCAUUCUUUCUAAUGCAGAGCAGUCAUCCAUUUGCAGGAAACCCAAACUUUUUGGUAAAUCUGUAAUCUCGACAAGGUUUCUGCAACCAUUUAAGGAUAGUAUACGAAGCUUGGAGAGGCCACUGAGGCUUGGAAGGCUCCCAAAAUUAUUGUCAUCUAGACUUAACUCCACUAAACAAGGUAGACUACUCCCAAUAUCAUUAGGCACUUCCUCUAUAUUGCUGUCCUCCAAAAUUACACUUGUCAAAGAGCGUAAACCUAGUAAGGAAGGUAGCUGCAAAGAACACUUCAAUUUACUCAAAGAUAAGCGCUCGAGCUUCUCUAGUCGUACGAUGGAAGGUGGUAGUUUUUUUAUGGCCGUUCCAUCUGCAUAAAGAGUGACCAAUGAUGCCAUUUCUCCCAAGUGCUCAGCCAAACUUUGGAAUCUUGAACAACCAUCGAGAACAAGAGUUUUAACAGAUUUCAACUUGUAGAAACUCCUCGGAAGAGCCUUAAGCGUUUCACAGUCUUUCAAAUUCACCAACACAAGACUCUUAAGAUCUCCGAUGGACUUGUGAACUUUAGCCAACCUCUUACAGUCUUUGAGUAUCAAUUUCUCAAGAUUUGGGAAUUUUGAAAAGUCUGGCGAUUGUGUUAGAUCGUGGGAGUGGCUGAGAUUUAGAAUCUUCAACUUAUCAAGCAACUGUUAAGAAAAAUCAAAUUUAAAUAAAAAAUUUAAAUCCAAAAAGAAGAUACAAAGAGCAUAAAAAUAAUUCCUAAUUUGGUUCAGGUUACGCAUUGUACUUACCCCAGAAUACUCACAAAGAACUUGUCUGAGGUUGCUGUACUGCAUGUCGAUAACAACUAUGUUUGGUUGACACAGUUCUAUUGGUAUGAACUCCAAUGGGAAUCCAUGCCAGCACAGCCAUUUUAAUUUUUUGGAAAGACAUUGGUAUCCCCCAGAGAGCCGAACGUAGUUUAGUUGGAGCAAUCUCAGUCUCUUCAUAUUUCUAAACACCUCAGUACUGAAACUAGUCUCUUCAAGACUCGGCAAAUUCAAAGCUAGACCUUCAAUUUUUUCAGUUCCCUGCUAUCCGAAAAAACAGACUCCAAAUGAGAGAAGGCUUAUCAUGAAAAAAAGUUAGAUUACUAACUUACAUAUGCUUACACGUUUAACAUAAAGUUUGAUUGGGAAAGUACUUACAGAUUUGUCUAUCAAUACAUCAUUUACAUCUUCGGGAUGCCACAAUCUACUCCGUUCUCCAGGAAAAUCGGGAUUUUCUGCAUGCACGAUAUCUCUGCCCAUAUCUCGAAGCAAAUCAUGCAUCAUAAUCUUGUUUUCUCUAUUAAUAGUCACUAGGCACCGGUUAAGGAGGACCUCGAUUCCUGUUGUUGAAUAAAAGCCACAACCAUCCAAGAUUUGCACGACAUCGUUCUUGUCCAUUCCGAUAAAAAAACAAGCUAUAUCGAGGAAUAUCCGCCUCUUGUAAUUAUCAUUUAGCCCGUCGUAGCUUAUUUUCAGUUGUGCCUGAAUUUCUCCACGAGGAAUCAUUUUCAAUUCAUCCAAUAUACUUCUCCAUUCAUCUACGCUUCGUUUGAAAAGAGUAGAUCCUAAAACUUCAAGAGCCAGCGGCAAUCCUCCACAGUAAUUGACAACUUCUCUUUCAAGCGCAAGAUAUUGACUAGGACAACUACUACUUCUGAAAGCAUGCCAACUUAGGAGCUCAAGAGCUUCUUCUCGGUCCAUUACUUUCGCCCGAUAUAUCUUAUCAACUGCAAAUUCUUUUAGCACACGUUCGUUUCUAGUUGUGAUGAUGAUUCUGCUCCCCGGGCCAAAAAAGUGGCAAUUUCCAACUAAUUCGCGUAACUGCUUCACAUCGUCUACAUCAUCAACUAUGACAAGUACCUUUAAGCGUCGAAAUCUUUCCCUUACCAAGGCGGUCCCUGCAACAACACUGCUUACCUUUGUCUUGGUUUGCAAGAUAUCGAAAAGAAGUUGUUUUUGCAAUUUUUCUAGUUUCUUUUCCCUCACUUUUUCAAGGAAACUUUUACCUUCAAACCUUUCAUAAAAUAUGUUAUAAAUGGCUUGAGCAAUCGUUGUUUUACCUAUUCCACCCAUGCCUGAAAUUCCAAUCACACGAACAUCAUCUGAAUCUCCGAUGCCUAAAUAAUUACUGAUAUCUAGCACUCGAGUAUCUAUUCCGACUUGAUAGGGCGCUACGUCAAAGUAUUUGUUGUUCAACUUCGUAGUGACGUCAUUGGUAAUCAUCCUGAUAAACUUUGCUUCAUGCCUGGCAUUAGUCAAGUUGAGAAGCAAAACGAAGAUUGUUAUACAACGAAAUUGAACUAAUUAAUACACAAAAUUAUUUAUCAUGACUAGAGAUUUUAAUUAAGACAAUUUUUUGAGGUGGUGUGUUUAAACUUAGCAAACAUCAAUUAAGAUUAAAAUAUAAAUUUCAAUAAGAAACACAAACAAAAAAACCAGCAUCCCUUCCCUCUGCAGCUAGUCGCCGGCGUCUUCCCAGCUGUGAUUAGUGUAGCCUUAACAGUUUAAGCUUUAUUGUAUGAUUUUAUUACAGAG